GCAGGUGGAGGGUGGGGUGAAAGGGCAGCCGGCGGCUGCGGCCGUCCCCCGGGCAGGGACGCCCCGCCUUCGCCGUGCCAGGCGGCGGGGGGCCGGGGUUGGGAGCGCAGAGGGGGCCGGCUCUUCCCGUCUCACCGCGGUGUUCGGGAGGGGAAGCCGGGCAAUGCGGGGGGCAGGUCAGGGGGCAGCCGCAGCGGGAGCCGAAGGAAGGAGGAGCUUUCAGCCGGCCCCUCCCGGCCCGCCCUGCCUCCACCACCUGUGGGGCGGGAGGGGCCCGCGGGCUCCGGGCCGCGCUCUCCGGCCCGGCCCCUCUAGCGGCGGCCCCGCGGCACCGCCCGGCCCGGCCCGGCCCCCGCCGCUGCCACAACCGAUGGGCCGGGCCGGGCGCCGACUGGAACCGGCGGGAAACACAGGAUUAGCUACAGGAUGUUUCUUCAAUACCUAGAGAAAACUUUGGGUUCAGGAUUGAGAACACCUGAGUCGUCAAUUCCAGCAGCAGAUUGGAGAACAUCUAGAAAAAAGAAAAAUACCUGAUUAUGAUGAUUGUUGUUCCCUUGUGAUUAAAGGACAGAAGGAGCGGUGGAGGGGGUACUCAAACUCAGGAAUCCUUUUAUGAGAAUCCUGCAAAAUACAAACCAUAUACCAAA